GUCAGUUCUAGAUGCACUGCAGAAAGACAGAGGGAAUUCCUUUCUUCUUGGCAGUAGGUUUUAUGAAAGUGCAUAGACUGAACACGUCUGACUAUGUGCCAUGCUGGCAUAAGUAAAGGAUAGAAUGGCUGAAGUUUCUCCAAGCAUUACCUGCAGUCAUAUUUGAAAUUAUUUUGUCCAAGUUGCUUUUCAUUUAAUUCUCAUCAUAUACUGUGAUACCUGUAUGACUGUGGACGUACAUCAGCACGUCUUUGGCUUAUUGUUUAUAGCUGAUUUAUCCAGAAUCUGCAUGUAUGUUUUGUGGAGGCAUCCUUAGCCACGUAGGACUGUGUGACGGUGCUCUAAAGAGACUACAAGGAGCUGCCUCCAUGGAAUUCAGAUGUAAAGUAAGACAGUUCAUUAUGUUUCAAGUGAUUUUUGCUAAAACAUAGAAUUAAAUGUAAGCAUGAGUUGAAUUUAAGCACCGUAACAUUCCAAAAGCAGUGGGUUUUCUUUGUUGGAUGCUCCCUACCCCAAUCAUGUCCUGUAAGUUUCUGUGAAAUACUUCACACAUACUGAGUGCCCUUUUAAAUUAAUAAUCCCCUUAAGAUGAUAAACAGAAAAUUCCUCUUUCUAUUCAUCAGAGACUUGCUCAUCUUUCCAGUGGAGACUACAGUAUGAAUACAAGUUACCCUACAGAUUUUUGUAACAAGUGUCAACUUAAACCAGUUUUACUACUAGCUUCAGUAUUUGUUUUUAGUAAGCAAAGUAUUUAUUGAAACAUUACCUUGUGUAUAAUGACCUAAUGCACAGAUUUCUCCCUUCCCAAAUUUCCAUUCUUUCUACUGAAGUCUAAACUGCAGUAAUUAUUUUAGCUGUAAGACAGCCACGUGUAUGAUCUAUAAAUAUUUCUAUUACAAACCAUUUGCUGCUUCUAUUAAAAUAUACUUAGUGUUUAAUAAAACCUUCUAUUUCUCUGCAGCUUUUCUGGCACAAGACUUAAAGGGCAUAAAACUUGCCUGUUUGUGAAAUUAUGUACACUUACCCACACUGAGAACAUUUAGGUAAGUGGUUGUAUGUGAGUAUAUAAGUGAUCACAGCUGUUUUCUGCAUACUACACACACACAAAAAAGUAUAAUUUGUAGUGUUGUUCUAAAAACUUAUGUCAGCAAGUUGACAUUGAUGAAACUAUACAUUUUGCUUUGUAUAUAGUUAUAAUAGUAAAUAUUAUAAUUUCAAAUAUUAACAUUUGCAAUAAAAUUUCCAUAUUCCACAGCAUUUUAAAAUAUCAUUGUGAUUCAUUAACAUUUGCUAAAUAAGUGAUCAACUGUUGGAGUAGGAUUGUGGCAGUGCCCUAUGAUAGUAAUCAACAUACUCAUACUUGGCUCUAACUGAAUUUCAGGUCAUAGUUCUGUGACAGUUAAGAAAGAUCUACCUAUUGCUUGAUCAUCUAACAAUAUAAACUUAGUUGAGGUUGCCAUUUUCAUCUUCAUCUUCCAAGACCAAUGUGCCACUUCGGGGCCAAAUCUGCACAGAGUUUGGACUGUUUAAACACUUAUUUACCUUCUGGUUACUUCCCUAUAACUGACCUUUUAACUAAUGCACCUUUGUCAUGGUGUGGAAAACUUCCUGGAGGGGAAGGCUGUGAGCACUGCUGAUGAGGUCUGGCAUUUUUGGACCUAGCAGAAGGCCCACGUGAGGUAGCAGAAGUGCUUCAGUGUUAGAAGUAGGGAUCCCAGGGCAUCACGCCUGGAUUUCCCCACCACACAGCUUGGAUGACUGCACUGACCCACCUGACUUUCUUCUGGGCCACAUCAUCUUCCCUGCUGCAGGAUAGCAAGCUCAUGUGACUUCUUAACAUUUAAUAUUUAUCUGUGACUAGAAAUGCAUUAGUAUCAAAGUCCAUUUAGCCUCCUUACCAUUAAUUUGGUCUUAAGCUAUUCUUGGGGGGCAAUGACAAUAGAAAGAAACAGAACAGAGGACAGAGAUCUCUUCUGAACAUACGAAGUGUUCAAGUAGUACGCAAGCAUCCAGUGAAAUUCUGGAGAUGAUACACACUUCAGAAGAUCUCUGGUCCCCUGAGCUCAUGGUAAACAGUGAAGCAUGCUAGACUUUCCUCAAUUGGGUAGCUUUUCUCUGUGAUAAACACAUCUCUCUCUCUUUCUUCCUGUCCCCAUGUAUCCAAUCCUCUGAAGAGCAAUUUCUUCUUUUGGCUAAGGCAUAUAGUUUUUGUUCCUAGCAGUUCACCCAAUACUCUUUGGGCAAGAAAAUAUGCCCCAAAAGACUAUCCUUGCCACUCCAAAGUUCCCAUAAAAAGUGAUUUGCUAGCCUUCCAGCCAGAAAAAAUGCACAGUGUAUCCAGAUAGGCUAUCAAGGCUGCUUGCUGAUAGAGUCAAGUCUGCUCAUUCUUAGGAUGACAAGAAGGUGACAGAGUUGCUACUAUAGAAGGCAUGCGUGGGCAUACUGAAUUUGUGGAGAGAGAAGUGAUGGCUGCUGUAGCUGACAGAAAAUCUCACUGUUAUGGGAAAUGUCUAGAGACAGAGCUUCACUCUCCUGAGCUAAAAUCCUAUCCCCUCUGAUACACCAUCUCCAAUUUGUCACAUGAUUAACAAUUAGUUGGGGAAAAGAGAAAUGCCAACUUUUCACACAUGGCUUUAGUUUACCACCAGUUUUUGACCAGAAUUGAUGUCCAAGUCAUUUGCAUUUCCUUCUUCAAAAUUGAGUUGGGCAGUUCCAAAGAGAGGAAAGUAUCAGGCCAGACCAGAAGGAGGCAGAUGGUACAGCCUCUGUUUAGAGCCACAGAGACAGAGCACGUCAUAAAGAUGUGGCAACUGCAGCUAUGUAGCUCAUACAGAGGCCAAAGGAAAAAAAAGACGAUUAAAAACAACAACAAAAAGGAGGUGAUCACAAGUUUCUGAACAUUUGGAUAGGUCAGGAUCUGUGACAAAGAUAAUAAAAUCUGUUGAGUGAAUGUUCUGUGAGUAUCCAAUGAAAAAAGGAAUGAGGAUAGGGAAUCUGAAAACUUAAACAAUAUAUCUGAGCAUAGAAAGUGAGAAUGACAAAAAUGAGCUAUUAAAAAGAAAUCUGGGCAAACUAGGAAAGGUCGAGUCAGGCACACAACAGCAGAACCACAGAAAGCCAGACAGCUUGAAGUUACCUGUCCCACAAAUUAAUGACCAACCCAUUUGAACAAUGUUGUAUUGACAGCUUGAGUUUAUACUGAUUCAGCCGCUAGAUCACGAUGUUUUUGUUUUGGUACUAGAUGUCCUGAAGUUUGAACUACUGUUUUGUAAGCUACGGACCACGGGAUGUGCUAAUGGUGUGCUUCCCACUUGCUCAAAUUGUUUCAGAUCACUUGUGUCAGUAGACAAUUCUAAGGCUCUUUGAGAAAGUGAUUACAGAAAUUUGAUGCAUACUUGAAUAAUAAUAAAGCAAAAAAGUACUGAAGACUAAGCCACCCGCUUAAACUUCAGCAACAUCUAAACUUACAGACUUACAGCAAUUACUUAUUUCAGACCAGUUAUGCAACUAUUUCUCAAGUGGCCUAAUUUGUAAUAAAACUCAGGACCAGCAGUUCCUAUUUAUUUCAAUACAAGUUGUGUAAUUCAACAAGAUUUGAAUAGCUGUGUUAAAAAAUGGUUAAUGCUAGCUGCUCCACUUUUCAGUUUCCACUGGAAGUUCAUAUUAAGCAAAGAUGUCCCUAGCUAUUUGUUUCUAUGGCGCUUUUUCUCCUCAGCAUUUAGUUCUUGCUGUAUUUGUCAGGAAAACAGGGAAAAAAAACACCAAAUACAUUUUGUAUGCUCAGGCCAUGGUCUCUAGUUCCCUUUUCACCCAGCUAACAGGGCUUAUCUUUUUCCACCACCUAUUUAUGUUGCUUUCAUUAACUUCUGUAUAUUCUCCAUGCUCAUUAGUGUUCUCUUGUUCUUCUUCAACUAAAGUAAGAACACAUUACCUCAGUCAGCAGUUGAAUAAACACAUCCAGCUUGGUGGUUCCCAAAUCCAUCUUGCUCACUACCCACUGCCGUCACUGUAGGUAGCAGUAGUAGAAGUUGCUGUACCAACAGCUUUCAGUAUCAGCCAGGACAAUCUGCUUGGCUACUCAGGAAUUAUCUACACACAGCUUUGCUUCAACACAUGUUAGAAUUUGGGAAUCUCAGUCUCAGCCCAAGGUGGAUACCAGAGCAUCUCUCCUUUUCCGAGAGCCUAUAAAAGCUGAAUCCUGAUUGCAGCAUUUCUUAGAUGCAGGAUUCCCAGCUGUCACCUAUGAGAGGAAAGAAAACAAUCUUAAGUGACUUUGAAUAUACGUGCAUAAAUACUGAUUGAAUUCAUUUGAGGUUCUCAUAGAAACUUACUAAUCUACAUGAUACAAGUAACUCGAUCAUAUACGUUUUCAUUAACUUAAAGAAUAAUGGUAAGCAGUAGCCCUCACUUUACACAUUUCCUUUCGAAAUCUACCGUGCAUUUAACUUAUAAUGCAGUGAAGAAAAAUAGUUUUUCACUGAUGCAGUGCUUUCAGAAUAUUCCUACAUUUCUUGCAAGCUUUGAGGAAAGAACCUGUAAAAACUGCUGUAAGUUUUGACAGUAAGCGUAAAACAAAGUAUGAAAAAAGCCAGCAUUUCUACUGCUUUACAAGAACCAUACUUCACAUUAUUUUAAAACUAAUUUAGCAAAGAUCUACUUUGUGAUAUACUGUGUUCUUAUACAACAAGAAAAAUCUUUUUUUUCCUUGUAUUGUGUGUCAUAGUAAACCCAUGCCAAAAUUGUUACCAUUCUGCUAUAGAAUUCUAAUAGCGACUCACCUUCUUUUUCAGAUAGUUGGUUUCUACUGAGCUUUGUUAUCCCACAUAUGUUCUUCUGCUGGAGCCUUUCAUGUCAGAAAACCUUUGAAGAGUGGGAGUAGCUCUUUAAAUUUAUCUGGAAGCAGUGGGGUUUCUUUUACAAUUGGCUGUUGCUGCUCACGUCGUUUUAUUUCAAGGUAGUAAAUGCUAUGAAUGUCAGAUUUUCAUGAAAAGGUAAGACAUACUAUCCAUAAAUUUCCGACACAGUAUCAACUUCUGCUCAUUCAACAUUUUCCUUCCUUUAGCAUCUCUUCCAAAGUUGGAAAAUGCAAUUUAUGCAUCAAUGUCGUUUCUAACAUAUUUGAUGCUGAGUGUCAGAAUCCUACUUAUCUUGUAGCAAGUUGUAAAACGUUAGCUCUUUACACAAAGGCACAGAUGUUCUUACAGCUUCCCUGUGUACUGUACUUUUAGAGACGUACCAUAUACUCUACCGAAGACCAUAUUUUUUCUGUCGAGAUCAUCUCCUCCUUGUGAAUCAGAACGGGAAAGCAAAGAAGCUCUUGGAAGCUCAAGGAAGAACAUCUUGCCCUUAGUUUCUUGAAAAGAAGCUGCUUCCAAGGAUGAAACCCUCUGAUUUAGAAGGGAAAUUCAGAAGGAUUUUUAAUAGUGAAGAAAACAGGAAGGGAUGACAUGGGAGGUAUGAAACUUAAAUCACAGCCCCCGACGCUUCCUGUUGGUACUGCUAUAUCCACUGCAGGGUUUUUGUGGAAUUCCAGUUUGUUAUUUCAAUAUUUUUCUUUUGCCCAUUUCCUUUGAAACCAUCUUUGCAAACGGAAACCAUAAGUAUACUUCGGCAGGAGCUCCUUACUUUAACAACAGAACAAAAAAAGCCACCUGAAUCAGAAACAGUUUUCUGACACAAGGGAAAUGCAGAGGGAAGAGGUUGCAACCUCUUUCCAUUCUGUACUUUGCUGCUCUUUCCGUCAGCUCUAAGAGCCUGCUAUCAACUGUUCCACCUACCUUACUAAGAUAUUGCUUAAACACUGUUCUUGGGUGUCUUCAUUUUCUUACAUCUGCUGCUUUCCUUGUAACUGUUGCACAAGGGAGUCUGUAUAUUGUUAUCUGAAGUGUGUAUCUGAAAUAAGUCUGCUAUUUCCUCCCGAUUGUGGCAAUUAAGCUGUUAGCCGAUCGUCUGGAGGGGAAAGUAUGUUCCCCUGGGGCUGCAAGGACACAGGAGAUGUACAUUACAUUACCACAAUUCUAAAGAUAUGAAAUAGCACACAGGAUUGUGCAGUAAAAGGAACAAAUUAACAAGAACACGCUUUGAAAUACUACACUCAAUAUAGAAUCAUAGAAUCACAGAAUGGCCUGAGUUGAAAAGGACCACAAUGAUCAUCGAGUUUCAACUCCCCUGCUAUGUGCAGGGCCGCCAACCACCAGACCAGGCUGCCCAGAGCCACAUCCAGCCCGGCCAUGAAUGCCUACAGGCUUGGG
ensembl:lncRNA